rnacentral:rRNA from 2 species
UCGGGAAUAUUGGGCAAUGGAGGAAACUCUGACCCAGCAAUACCGCGUGAAGGAUGAAGGUUUUCGGAUUGUAAACUUCUGUUAUAAAGGAAGAAUAAAAUGACGGUACUUUAUAAGUAAGCCCCGGCAAACUAUGUGCCAGCAGCCGCGGUGAUACAUAGGGGGCAAGCGUUGUCCGGAAUGACUGGGUGUAAAGGGUGUGUAGGUGGCUUUUUAAGUUGGAAGUGAAAGCCCGGGGCUCAACUCCGGAACUGCUUUCAAAACUGGAUGGCUUGAGUGUGGGAGAGGUUAGUGGAACUCCUAGUGUAGCGGUGGAAUGCGUAGAUAUUAGGAAGAACAUCAGAGGCGAAGGCGACUAACUGGAACAUUACUGACACUGAAACACGAAAGUGUGGGGAGCAAACAGG